GUCCGUGAACCGUGAGGAAGCGCCUCCCCUUGCGGAUCCGGCAAAAUUCAUCAGUAAAAGGAG
rfam:Geobacter metallireducens GS-15, complete genome.